AGAGUUUGAUUAUGGCUCAGAUUGAACGCUGGCGGCAGGCCUAACACAUGCAAGUCGAACGGUAACAGGAAGCAGCUUGCUGCUUCGCUGACGAGUGGCGGACGGGUGAGUAAUGUCUGGGAAACUGCCUGAUGGAGGGGGAUAACUACUGGAAACGGUAGCUAAUACCGCAUAACGUCGCAAGACCAAAGAGGGGGACCUUAGGGCCUCUUGCCAUCGGAUGUGCCCAGAUGGGAUUAGCUAGUAGGUGGGGUAACGGCUCACCUAGGCGACGAUCCCUAGCUGGUCUGAGAGGAUGACCAGCCACACUGGAACUGAGACACGGUCCAGACUCCUACGGGAGGCAGCAGUGGGGAAUAUUGCACAAUGGGCGCAAGCCUGAUGCAGCCAUGCCGCGUGUAUGAAGAAGGCCUUCGGGUUGUAAAGUACUUUCAGCGGGGAGGAAGGGAGUAAAGUUAAUACCUUUGCUCAUUGACGUUACCCGCAGAAGAAGCACCGGCUAACUCCGUGCCAGCAGCCGCGGUAAUAAGGGCG
rnacentral:rRNA from 1 species